UACGUAGGGUGCAAGCGUUAAUCGGAAUUAUUGGGCGUAAAGAGCUCGUAGGCGGUUUGUCGCGUCUGCCGUGAAAGUCCGGGGCUCAACUCCGGAACUGCCUUUGAUACUGGGUAUCUUGAGUAUGGAAGAGGUAAGUGGAAUUGCGAGUGUAGAGGUGAAAUGCGCAGAUAUCAGGAGGAACACCGAUGGCGAAGGCAGGUCUCUGGGCAUUAACUGACGCUGAGGAGCGAAAGCGUGGGGAGCAAACAGG
rnacentral:rRNA from 1 species